rnacentral:rRNA from 1 species
GACGAACGCUGGCGGCGUGCUUAACACAUGCAAGUCGAACGGAAAGGCCCUGCUUUUGUGGGGUGCUCGAGUGGCGAACGGGUGAGUAACACGUGAGUAACCUGCCCUUGACUUUGGGAUAACUUCAGGAAACUGGGGCUAAUACCGGAUAGGAGCUCCUGCUGCAUGGUGGGGGUUGGAAAGUUUCGGCGGUUGGGGAUGGACUCGCGGCUUAUCAGCUUGUUGGUGGGGUAGUGGCUUACCAAGGCUUUGACGGGUAGCCGGCCUGAGAGGGUGACCGGCCACAUUGGGACUGAGAUACGGCCCAGACUCCUACGGGAGGCAGCAGUGGGGAAUAUUGCACAAUGGGCGGAAGCCUGAUGCAGCAAAGCCGCGUGCGGGAUGACGGCCUUCGGGUUGUAAACCGAUUUCGCCUGUGACGAAGAGUGAGUGACGGUAAUGGGUAAAGAAGCACCGGCUAACUACGUG